rnacentral:snRNA from 1 species
AUACUUACCUGGCAGGAAGAUACCAUCAUCACGAAGGUUGUUUUCCCAGGGCAAGGCUUGUCCAUUGCACUCCAGAUGUGCUGACUCCUGUGAUUUCCCCAAAUGUGGGAAACUCGACUGCAUAAUUUGUAGUAGUUGUUGGGAACUGUGUUCACGCUUUGCCCUAU